rnacentral:rRNA from 1 species
AUUGAACGCUGGCGGCAUGCCUGACACAUGCAAGUCGAACGGUAACGGGCCUUCGGGUUCCGUCGAUUGGCGGACGGGGUAGUAAUACACCGGCACGUACCCGAUCGCGGGGGAUAACGAGCCGAAAGCUUUGCUAAUACCGCAUACGAUCUACGGCUGAAAGCAGGGGACCGCAAGGCCUUGCGCGGACGGAGCCGCCGAGGGCAGAUUAGGUAGUUGGUGGGAUAAAAGCUUACCAAGCCGACGAUCUGUAGCUGGUCUGCGAGGAUGACCCGCCACACUGGGACUGAGACACGGCCCAGACUCCUACGGGAGGCAGCAGUGGGGAAUUUUGGACAAUGGGCGCAAGCCUGAUCCAGCCAUGCCGCGUGCAGGAUGAAGGCCUUCGGGUUGUAAACUGCUUUUGUACGGAACGAAAAGCCUUCUUUUAAUACAGGAGGGUCAUGACGGUACCGUAAGAAUAAGCUCCGGCUAACUACGUG